rnacentral:tRNA from 1 species
UCCCUGGUGGCUCAGAUGGUAAAGCGUCUGUCUACAAUGCAGAAGACCCAGGUUCGAGCCCUGGGUUGGGAA